CCAAGUAAACGGAGCGUAACUGACGCGGGAAGGAUAAUGCAGGCCCCGCGCAUGGUGAGAUAUAUUUUCCACAGUUGCGUUUGCGUUUUGCAAGUACCCAAAACUCGAUGACGGCGGCAUUGACGUUGGCGAUAGGUAUUGCCGAAUAAAAGGCAGAAACGGCAAGGGACAGGGUGCCAAAUUUAGGAGUUUGGAUGGCACGGCGGGGAGAUUGAACCAAAGUUUCACCAAUGAAGGAGAAAGGAGAACAAACCAUCUACCCCGAUGACGGACUCUUCUGCUAUUACCCGAUCCAAUAUAGACGCUGGGCCCCGGGAAAACCACGCUACAUCGCAACCUUCCACUAGAUGGAAGCGUUUCCAGGGCGGAAAAUGAAAGCAGCAACGUGUACGAGGAGCGCACCGUGACGGUUUUUGUGUAUCGAAAAUUUUCGUAUAAUCUUCUCCCUUCUGCAUUUCCACCCUUGUGGUGGUGCCCUUUCUUCACAGAAAAAACGGCAUCAAAAACACAACCGAUUCCGGCAUGCCGGGCACUAGUGUAGUGUUUGGGCAGAGGAAAUGUGUGGCUGGAAAAAAGGGGAAUGUGGUGACGGGAAACCCAUUUUCGCGAAUGGAGAUGAAAAAAGGAUCUGAGCCCGGCGCUGCUGCUCUGCAAUGUUUGCGGCGGUAUCCGGUCGCUCUUUUGGUUAGAGGAUUUACAUAUCAGUUACGCACACACAUACACACAAAUAUCGUGUACGCAGCAGUACAUCCCACACACAUGCAUAACGAGCGAAAUGACUUGUGGUGAGGUAUCCAUCCAAGUAAACGGAGCAUAAACGGCACACGCACCCGAUCAAGCGUACAUCCAACACGGAAACAGUGCCACCAACUGGCUACAGAUGGCGCUGUAUAAUCCCACGAGAGCAGUGUCGAAGUGUUUUGAGAAAUGCUACGAAUUUUCACCUUUAAACGGGAAAAGGAUUGAAAUAGAAUAUAAGAUAAUUUAUUUCUUUGUGCAGAGCUUUUAA